rnacentral:rRNA from 1 species
UUUAAAUGGCCGCAGUAUACUAACUGUGCAAAGGUAGCAUAAUCAUUAGUCUUUUAAUUGAAGGCUGGUAUGAAUGGUUGGACGAGAUAUUAACUGUUUCAUAAAAAUUUAUAAUAGAAUUUUAUUUUUUAGUCAAAAAGCUAAAAUUUAAUUAAAAGACGAGAAGACCCUAUAAAUCUUUAUAUAUAGAUUAUUAGAAUUUUGUAGAUUUUUUUUAUUAUAAUAAUUGAUUAUAUUUUAUUGGGGUGAUAUUAAAAUUUAAUAAACUUUUAAUUUUUAAAAACAUUAAUUUAUGAAUUAUUGAUCCAUUAAUAGUGAUUAAAAGAAUAAGUUACUUUAGGGAUAACAGCGUGAUUUUUUUGGAGAGUUCAUAUCGAUAAAAAAGAUUGCGACCUCGAUGUUGGAUUAAGAUAUAAUUUUAGGUGUAGCCGCUUAAAUU